GAAAAGAAGCCCGAGGGUCAGCAGAUGUUGAAGGAGGUAUAAUCAAGACCAUUCAGCCAAGUUGCCUAAGAACAACAGUUGAUGAGAACUGCACGUCUUCAAACACUGUCUACUGCAGGAUGGAAACAGGAACCUCUGGGAAUAUCUCCUCCUCCUUGUGAAACAGCUCCUGUCAUAGCAAAGGUCCUGGAAGUCGAGGCACCUGUUCCUUUAUCUGCUAUACCCUACAGCAGCCCAGCAAGCUUCCUAACUUGGAUCCUGGAGUCCUGUUGUCCCUGUUCCCACACAACUACCUCUUCCCGAUUUUCUGUGAAGAUAGCUGGGGAUCAGACUUGA